GAUGAACGCUAGCGAUAGGCUUAACACAUGCAAGUCGAGGGGCAGCAUGGUCUUAGCUUGCUAAGGCUGAUGGCGACCGGCGCACGGGUGCGUAACGCGUAUGCAACUUGCCUCACAGAGGGGGAUAACCCGUCGAAAGACGGACUAAUACCGCGUACACUCUAUGUUGGGCAUCCAAUGUAGAGGAAAUGAAAUUCGCUGUGAGAUAGGCAUGCGUCCCAUUAGCUAGUUGGUGAGGUAACGGCUCACCAAGGCGACGAUGGGUAGGGGAACUGAGAGGUUGAACCCCCACACUGGUACUGAGACACGGACCAGACUCCUACGGGAGGCAGCAGUGAGGAAUAUUGGUCAAUGGGCGAGAGCCUGAACCAGCCAAGUCGCGUGAAGGAUGACUGUCUUAUGGAUUGUAAACUUCUUUUAUACGGGAAUAACAAGAGUCACGUGUGGCUCCCUGCAUGUACCGUAUGAAUAAGCAGCGGCUAACUCCGUG
rnacentral:rRNA from 1 species